rnacentral:rRNA from 1 species
GACGAACGCUGGCGGCGUGCUUAACACAUGCAAGUCGAACGAUGAAGAAGAGCUUGCUCCUCGGAUUAGUGGCGAACGGGUGAGUAACACGUGACUAACCUGCCCCUUUCUCUGGGAUAACGCUCCGAAAGGAGUGCUAAUACCGGAUACUCACAUCGAGGCACAUGCCUUGAUGUGGAAAGUUUUUCGGAAAGGGAUGGAGUCGCGGCCUAUCAGCUUGUUGGUGAGGUAACGGCUCACCAAGGCGACGACGGGUAGCCGGCCUGAGAGGGCGACCGGCCACACUGGGACUGAGACACGGCCCAGACUCCUACGGGAGGCAGCAGUGGGGAAUAUUGCACAAUGGGCGAAAGCCUGAUGCAGCGACGCCGCGUGAGGGAUGAAGGUCUUCGGAUUGUAAACCUCUUUCAGUAGGGACGAAGCGAAAGUGACGGUACCUAAAGAAGAAGCACCGGCUAACUACGUGCCAGCCGCCGCCGUAA